GCGGGGCCGACGGCUUGGAUUUGUUUAUUUAUGCAAACUCGCCCAGGGUGGGGGGCGUGGUGAGCAGGUCCGGCGGCCCCAGCCCGCCGGCCCGGGAGCCCCUCUGCCGCGCUCCCCGUCCUCUUUGAAGUGACACUUGGGGUUAUUUAUAGGCAGGAAGGGGGUGUGGAGUGGAGCUGGCGCUGCACUUCCCUCUCUUUCUCCGGAUUCACACCGAGGGCUCGUUUGGCCUUCCACGGAGGCGGUGAGGCGGGCACCACCUUCCAUGGACGCGUUGGGGCAGGCACCACUCCACCUUUCCCAGCCCUUGAGACCCUCCAGGAACUCGACUGAGUUAUUGUCAGGGCUUGUGGGUGGAUCUCCACGUCCUGAUCAGGACUACCUGAUCCCUUCAGCCACCGCUCCUCUACUCCCAAGCCCCCAACCUCUUUCCCCUUCCUUCUCCCCCGACAACCGACUCCCCGGGGGCUCUGUACCUCCUGAGAUCUGCAGCUCCUCCAGUGCCGGGCGGCCAACCACAUCUUUACUCUGGGGUGAAAAGUCAGCCCUCCAGGGGGCAGCAGAGCUGGCAGCCCUUCCUCUCAGGACCAAGACCUGAGGUAGUAUGAGACACUGAAAACGGAGGAGAUCUUAUUCCAGGUAUCUGAGAGGUGGCUCAUUGGGGCCGCCUGCCAGUCCUGACAUCUCCCCUUCUUGCCUGCCAUUAAUCUGAGACCCAUGCCAUCUAUCCCUGUGUGGUGAGACCAGCCUGCCUCAAUCAUCCCAGUCAUCAAAGGACUUUGGAGGCCCUCAGGAAUGCUCAGGCAGUGAAAUCUAAACAGUUUGGAGCUGGAGCAUCCUUGUGAUUGGGAACUGAAAGAGGAGGGUGUUGCGCUAGCCUGACCUGGCCCCAGCAUUGCAAACCCUGGAGCUUCCAGGGGGACUCUGGAGUCAGAGAAACCUGGGUGUAAAUCUCCCUUUUGUCAAUGUGGAAGCUGCUGAACAUCUCGGAGGCUCAGUUUUCUCAUUUGUAAGAUGGGCUGAUAAUAAAAGUAUCUACCCGUCUGGAAGGACUGAAUGAGGUAAUGUAUGUAAAGCAGUGAACACAGUGCUGGCACAGGGCAGGCACUCAAUAAAGGGCAUCGGCUCCUUCUUUGGAAUUCAUGGCUGCUAGGGCCAUCUCAGACACAGCUAGCUCUGGGCUCCCAGUUGUGAAACAGGAAGAAGUUUCCAUCCCAGAGAAAGCAAAUGGAUCACAGUUAACCUCCAUUUUUUCCCUACCUGACAGCUGAGAGUAGCAGCUUGUGAGCAGCAGGAGUUAGCUUGUGUUGAGGGGCCUGAUCCCCAGGUAUCCCUCUUCUUCUUCCCACACUGCUUAGAAUUCUUGCCCUGGGAGAUUUUUCUUUCAGGUAGAGCAUUGUCUACCCCAGGCACAAGUUACAGCCUCAUGUGGCUUAUCUUGAACCCUUCUUUCUUCAUAGGUGGGGGCCAGGACCUGGGGACACUGAGGUGAAAAGAGUGCCUUCCAGGAGCUUUAAAAACAGUUGAUUAAGGAAGACAAGUCAUGUUCACAUAAAACCGCCACAAAAGGCAGAAUAGCGAAAAUCCACAAAACAUGUAAAGACCACAAAAGGUGCUUCAGGGCUCCCAGAAGAAAGGGGGGGGAUUCAGAUGCCUCAAGAAAAACACCAGGAAAUAGAUUUUCUUGUUUGCAGUAAGAAGAAAGAGGGCCUCCAAUGCUAACCCAAAGACUUUGAUUUUAAACUGUGGUCUUGGUUACACACCUAGACAAAAAUGAAGAAAAAAUGCCCCAGGCAUACAGCCUCUACUGUUCUUCAAGUCUUUUCUGUGUUUUUCCACUUUUUUGCUCCUGCUAGACCCUCUGCCAGGAAGGCCACCCUUCUCUCUCCUGUUUUCUACACCUUAAAAUCCUGUCAUUUGCUCCCAGCCCGUUUUUAUUGAGCAAACCCCACUUCUCUUCCUCCACUGUGGCUUUGACAGCAUCAAAAUCCUUCCUGAAACCAAAACUACCAGCGUGGCAUCUCUGAGGCCCCACUGUGCUGUCUCCCACUGCCUCUUCCACUGCCUCUCCCACCAGCUUUUCAGGCUUCCCCAAAGACUCAGCUUCUGCUCCCCAUGACAAAAGCGAAGGUCAGCCCUCCUCCAGAAGGCCGCAGGUCCUCUGUCCUCUACUUGGCUCUUCUGCCCAUGGCUCUUGACCUGCCUCUCCCAUUUCUUCCCCAUGGAAAGCUUCCAUGGCCAGGACCUGCUCCAGGUCCCCUGUAGAGGCCACAGGGGAGCCAACACCUGUCAUUUUAUUUGCCCUGAGCCUAGUCCCCCUAUUCCUAGUAACUGUGACUCAAUUUCCUUUGGGGAACUUUCUUCUCCCCAGGACAUAUGGCUCUGGUGGAGUUAACUCCAUACCUGGCAUAUGAAUAGGAAGUAACCUCACCAGUUGUCCUCUCUCAUCUCCCCUGGCUACUGUGACUAGGUCAGAGAGGACAUGUGGCCCAGUUCAGGCCAGUGAGAGUUGGGCUGGAGUGACUGGGAGCUACAGCUAUUUCCUUGGAAGGGCUUUCUAAAGGGAUGAGCUGGAGCUGCCGCAGGUGUCUUGCCACUGUUGAUAAAUGAGGAUGAAGCCAACACGGAGGCAAACAGAGGUGGAGAGUGACUGAGUCCUGAAGACAUCACCGAAACCCUUCAAUCAAAUUGUGCCAGAAGCCCGGUGACAGGAGUCCUUUCAGCUCCAGCCAGUUUGAGUUGGGUUUCCUUUCUUCAGCAAACUACCAGACUCAGAAAUGGAAGAGUGGGGAUGCCUUUG
rnacentral:lncRNA from 1 species